AAAUGCUUUAUUUCACAAAUUUCACGGUAAUAAAAAACCCCUCCAACAUCUCAAUCGAAUUGGGUUAUUUUUCACUUUUCCCUCUCCCAAUUUCAAUUUCAAUUUCAGAUUUUCCCUUACCUCUUGUCUCUACCAAUUUGAUUUUUCCUCUUCCCUUCCACCACCCAUCUCUCUCCAUCAACCAAUCUCUUUGUUUGCUGAAGACUCAUCUCUCACAGAAGCUAAAUCUAUAAUUGAAGACACCAACGAUUUACCCCUUUUUCAAACCCUAGAAUCGAAGAAAGAAAGAGUUCUCCCUUUUGUGUUACUAAAUUCAUGUACCUUUAUUUGAUUUCAGCGGGCGGAGCGACAAAAUUGAAUAUAUAAGGGAGGCAAUGGCAUUGAAUUCUCAAUCGAAAAAGAAAUUUGAGGCACCCUUCCAUUCUUUUGUUACAUUGGCUGCUGUAGUCCACUUAUUUCUGAUCUGUUACAGUUCAAGAAAGAGGAAGAGAAAUAAGAAGCAAAAGGGAUUAACUCAAGAGGUUGGAGUGAUAUAAUACAAUUGAGAAGACGGAGUCUAUGAUUGAUGAGGCAAGCAAGUUAAGACUAUUUUGUUUUAGGUCAACUUUAACAUAAGCUACUCAUUAGUUUCAUCAGUUGUUAUGGGUACUGAAAAUGGCAUUCCUUUUGGUGAGAUUGCAAAGGUCUUAACUACCCGAAAUUACUUUAAUAACUUUGCUGGAAAUAUUGUUUGUACAGCUACUAUAGUCUAUACAUUAUCUAGAAUGUGAAUUGUGAAGCUUAACUAAGAUGGUGUAAAUAAACAACUUAUUGUACGAUGUUAAUUUAAAUUAUGUUAGUUUAUUAUCUAGAAUAUGCAGGCUUACACCUAUA